rnacentral:tRNA from 1 species
GCCCGCCUUCGCGCGGCGGACCAGGCGCUGCCGCUGGUGCGGGCGGCCGGCGGCUGGAGCGCGGUACGGCGCACCGUGCGGCCCGGCGGGGCGCGCG